rnacentral:rRNA from 1 species
GAUGAACGCUGGCGGCGUGCCUAAUACAUGCAAGUCGAGCGAACAGAUGAGAAGCUUGCUUCUCUGAUGUUAGCGGCGGACGGGUGAGUAACACGUGGGUAACCUACCUAUAAGACUGGGAUAACUCCGGGAAACCGGGGCUAAUACCGGAUAAUAUUUUGAACCGCAUGGUUCAAUAGUGAAAGACGGUUUCGGCUGUCACUUAUAGAUGGACCCGCGCCGUAUUAGCUAGUUGGUAAGGUAACGGCUUACCAAGGCGACGAUACGUAGCCGACCUGAGAGGGUGAUCGGCCACACUGGAACGGAGACACGGUCCAGACUCCUACGGGAGGCAGCAGUAGGGAAUCUUCCGCAAUGGGCGAAAGCCUGACGGAGCAACGCCGCGUGAGUGAUGAAGGUCUUCGGAUCGUAAAACUCUGUUGUUAGGGAAGAACAAAUUUGAUAGUAACUGAACAAGUCUUGACGGUACCUAACCAGAAAGCCACGGCUAACUACGUGCCAGCAGCCGCCGUAA